ACGUGACCCGUGAGGCCGGGUUCGAGGCCUAGUGGCGGGAUGGCGGGAUGGCGGGAACCGAGGGCGGGGCGCUGGACCACGGUACGACUGUGUCUGCGCGGUGCGGCUGAGCGGGUCUCUUGCCAGCUGUCGGAAGUUUGCCCGCCCGUUUGGCGGUUGGACAGAAUGGCAGCCCAGGGGACAAUCGGACCUGUGCGUUGGUAACUCUGCUGCUAAAUAUAGUCAAAGCAGUGACUUGAGUCCUUCAUCACGCAGUGCGUGCCCCGUUCGCGUGCCAGGCCCAGAGCUUGACACUGUGGGAUAAACAAGUUUCUCGAACAGUCUUCCAAAGAAUAUUUCUGCGUGACAGGAUGUCCAGUGACUUGGUACCACCGAUUCUAUCUGCUUCGGCAUAUCAGAAACUAUAGAGAAGACCUGAAGAGUUGAUUUUGCUGCUUCUCACUUGCUUGGAUGAAAUCUCCAUUUUUCUACAAUUGUGCAUUUAUAGAAAGCUGAGUGCUUAUUUUCUGACAUUGCAGAGCUAAGACAGCAUGGAUUUGCCUGUGGAUGAGUGGAAAUCCUACCUUCUUAACAAGUGGGCUUUACUCCCGAAGUCUGUGCAGGACGAAAUUUCUACAGCAGAGACUUUGAGUGGCAUCUUUCUUCAUUCCUCUUCCCUUCUUCAGUAAGUGAAUGGAAACCUUAGGGAAAUUUUGAUCUGGAAAACGUUGUCUCUUGUCAUUUGAUCUGAAGUUAUAUCUUGUUCUGAUUGGAAGAGUAGCUUUGUGUUUUUUGUAUUAUGGGGCACUGAGCAGUCCUUGUCUGUUUUCACAUUUCUCCCUAGUCUGUGAUUACAGAAUGUGUAGGGAUGACUAGUUUGCUAUUUUGGUAUGGGUUAUAUUUCAGGAAUUUAGUGUCUUGCUGUAGUCCCAAGGCCAUAAACCUUUCUGUCACUCAAAGACUAUAUGGUGCAUAUUGUGUAGCUGCCCAAAGAAAUUCAUUAAAUGCGAUAGUUGGGAAAGAACCCUAAAGGUCAUAUAGUCUAGCCCCAGUAAUUUUCAAAUUCUAUGGGCUACAUUCAUUAGUAAAAUAAACAUUUUACAUCACAACCUAAUAAACAUGUGCAUAUGUAGAAAACAGUGGAAUUUCCCAUUUCAGUUAUUCAAUUAAUAUUAUUUUUAAUUUUGAAUAUUCUGAAAUUACAUCAUUUCCUCCCUCCAACCUUCCCAUGUACCCCUUCCCACCUUGUUCUUGCUCUCUCUCAAAUUCAUGACCUCAUCUUAUUUUAAGUUAUAGUGUAUGUGUGUGUGUGUAUUUCUAAAUAUAUAACUACAAUCUGCCUGUUUGUAUGUGUAUGACUUUAGGACUGACCACUUGGUACUGAAUAGCCAACUAGAGGCUGGUUUCCUGGAGGAGACUGUUAUUUCUCCCACUCUCAACAUUCCUUAGUUGCUUGUAGUAUAUCUAACAUUGGGCCCCUGUGAGAAUUUUUCCCCCUUUCAGGUUAACCUUUAUAUUGGUGUCAUCCUUAUUCAGUCAGGUCUUGUUUAGGCAGCCAUGCUGUUGAGUCUUCAUAGGUGUAGCUCCCCUGGCAUUUCUAGGAGAUGCAAUCUCAUAGCAGACUUUCUGUGGCUCUAAGAGUCUCUUUCCACCCUCUUCUUCCUCCAUGUUCCCUGAGCCUUAGCUGCAAGAGUUAUGUUGUAAAUGUAUCAGUUGGGGCUGAGCACCACAUGAUCACUUGUUCAGUCAAUAUUAUUGAUUGCUCAGUGGCAAUCAAUAAUAUUAGCCCCUGCACUCUGGAGGCAGUAGACUGGUCUAUUUAGAGAGUUCCAGGCCAGUAUGGACUAUAUAGUGAGAUCCUGUCUCAAAAAAAAAAAAAAUAGUGAUUGUUUCAGUAGCACAUAUAAUAAAAAUUGGGACAAAAACAUCAAAUGACAAAGAUCACCAGGAAAGGAGAUGAGUGUAUUUGCACCCAGCAGAUUCAAGCAAUAGCACAAAAGCUCAGCUCGUCUGCAUCACAGCAGAAUGAGCUCAGAGAGUAGACAGAAAAUAGUAACAGACACAGUGGGUACUGGGGAAACACAGGUGGCACAUGCUAUAGGAAGUAAUGACCUCAGACAAUCACAGAAACUGACGUCUGCCAGCAACCCAGUGAGCCUGGGAGUCUUUCCCAGGCCUUCCAAAGAGGAUUCUCACAUUGUAAGAACCUGAGCAGAGAGGCUCAGGUUUCUGACCCACAGGACUGUUCAGGUAAUAAAUGGCAGCUGUGUUGAGCUGCUCAGUUUGUGGAAUUUGUUGAACAACAGUAGAAAACUAGUUGUCGGAGGCUUGAGGGAAGAGUAAUGUGAGAUGACUGUAUUUUCAAGUAGAGAUGAGCAAACUAAGACUGCCAGAUAAGGUCCAUCCAACUGUAUGUUUUCUCUUAGGACCACAACUAAGAAUGCUUUUACCAGAUAAACAUUUGCAGUUCAUUUUAGGGUAAGGAGCAUUGGCCUUGAACCCUAAUUAAGCAAAAAUAACAUGGGUUAUGUUUUUGUUUUUAAUAAAAAAGGCCAGUGAAAUGGCUUAGCAAGAAAAUGCUUGCUUCUGUAGGAAACAAGCCUGACCAUCUAAUAUGCAAGCUUGGUGACCUGAGUUCAAUCCUUGAAACCUAAAGUUCAAUCCUACCACAUAAAGGUAGAAAGAGAGAUCCAACUCCACACAGAUGCUGUCGAAUAUGAAUACACACACAACACUAACAAUAGUAAUAAAUAGAAAUUCCAAAAAGAAAAUAAUCCCAUUGUUGUCAUUAGUAGACUUAUAUUAUAAAAAUUAUAUUCUACUAUUAUAUUUUAAAUUUUGUCAAAAGAAGAAAUCUGCUUGCUGAAUGAAUAACUAUAAUAGCUUAAAAUUUUCUUCUUGGUUUACAAAGCCUAAAUAAUCUAGCCUUCUACAUGAAAAGUUGGCUGAGCCCUGAUUCUUCUUUUUAAUGAUUUUCUAUUUAAAUUUCUUUUACUUUUGUGUAUGUGUGUGUGGCAUAUGCAUGCACGUGCCACAGCUUACAUGUGGAAGUCAGAGGACAACUUUGCCAGGUGGUUCUUUCCUUCUAUCAUGUGGGUUCUAGGGAUUAAACUCAGGUCAUCAGACUUGGCAGGAAGUGCCUUAGGUCUGAACAAUCUCACUGACCCUGAGCCCUGUUUUAAAGCUUCACUGUCUGCCGUGUUAAGGACAGACAGCAGAAGGAGCCAGAGUAGAAGCAGAGACACUGGAAGGCCACUGCUAUAACCCCAAUGAGAAGAUGAAUGUAGGCCAAAGUGACCGUAGUUAGGGUAGGAAAAAGCAUUUGGAUUCUGAGGUAGAUUUAAUAGCAGUUCUUGAGAUGAAAUGUGUUGUGUAAUAGAAUGUGAGAAGUAACAUGGCCCCAGGGAGAAGGUAGAGGAUGAUGUUGCCAUAUCUGGUAACCACAUAUGGGGAACAAAGAUCCAUACUUCAUAUUUGAGUUGCAUGUGUCCAGUGGAUACCUAAUGGCAAUGUUUAAACAUGUUUGGAAUUUAAGAAGAGGCCUGGGAAAGAGAUACAAACCUGGGAGAGCUCUGUGGCCUUUAGAACCAUCAAACUGGUGAAGUCACCCAGCAAGAAUGUGUGGAUGCUCACUGCCUGUGCUGUACUGUGACUGUUCACCCUCUGUUUACCUCAUUUUGAAAUGCUAAUCAGAACCCACUAAAUUCAUUUCAUGACCCACUGAAUCAGGACCUGCAACUUGGAAAAAAAAAUGAAAAAUGUCUAAAGCGGCCUACAGGAUCUGUGGAUUCCCUUUACAGAAUUUCAAAAAUGCUAAGGAACUGAUGAAAGUAUGGAUAAUAGGCAGAGUUUUGCCUAGAUGAAUCAGUCUGGUUUACUAACAGAAAAUGUAAUAUGCAACAAGAAUCAUUUGAAUAUUCGAUGCAUUGGUAGGAAUGUAAAUUAAAGAGGGGGGUUUAUCUGUUUAAUGAAGGAAUUCCUCAAGACUA